CAGAAUUAAAUACACAGAAAAUUUAUUGGGGGAAACACCUGGGAGACAGAUGGAGCUGGGGCAUGGAGCUGGGGCUCAGGGCCAAGGUUUUGAUCAGUUUCACAGUGUGCCACACUGAACGCAGCCGCGCAGGAGAUGAACACAGCCGUGUCUUAAAGGAACCGGGAAAAGCGCUGUUUCAGAGGACACAGAGAGGCAGAGGUGGAAAAACAUGUCAUUCCAGAUACAAGCAGAGAAGAAUGCGUUAUUGAUGCAGUGCAAUUUAAACCAGCCCUCAGAAAACCCUGCAUCCAACCCAUGAGGAGUGACUAGGAUAAACCAACCUUCUCCUCAGGCCCCGAGGGAGCGCAGCCACUUCUGCGCUCUGGCCACACGCCUGGAGCUUCCCGCAGGCCUGGCCUCCCACAGGCAGGGGUGUCCUCCCCAGGAGCUGUGAUGUCUGCCUGCCGGGAGGGGUCCCCUGGCUGGGCCUCCCCUCAGGCCCCUGUAGUCUCUCGAUGGAGGAAGCCGAAGACAUUGUGGAUUGAAGA